UCACGAUGGAACUGAGACACGGUCCAUACUCCUACGGGAGGCAGCAGUAGGGAAUCUUCCGCAAUGGGCGAAAGCCUGACGGAGCAACACCGCGUGGUUGAUGACGCCCCUUGGGGUGUAAAGACCUUUUCUGAGGGAAGAAUUAUGACGGUACCUUAGGAAUAAGCACCGGCUAAUUACGUGCCAGCAGCCGCGGUAAUACGUAAGGUGCAAGCGUUAUCCGGAAUCAUUGGGCGUAAAGCGUCUGCAGGUUGUUUAUUAAGUCAGACAUUAAAGACGGCAGCUCAACUGUCGGACUGUGCCUGAAACUGGUAAGCUAGAGUCAUACAGAGGUACGUGGAAUUCUGCAUGUAGGGGUAAAAUCCGUUGAUAUGCAGAGGAACACCAAAAGCGAAAGCAGCGUACUGGGUAUGUACUGACACUCAGAGACGAAAGCAUGGGUAGCGAACGGGAUUAGAUACCCCNGGUAGUCCAUGCCGUAAACGAUGAUCACUCGAUGUUAGACUUUUCAAUCGGUCUAGUGUCCAAGCUAACGCGAUAAGUGAUCCGCCUGGGGAGUACGGUCGCAAGAUUAAAACUCAAAGGAAUAGACGGGGACCUACACAAGCAGUGGAGCAUCUGGUUUAAUUCGAUAAUAAGC
rnacentral:rRNA from 1 species